rnacentral:rRNA from 1 species
CGUCUAUAUACGCAUAGCAUAUCAAUAAGCGGAGGAAAAGAAACUAACUAGGAUUCCCUCAGUAACGGCGAGUGAAGCGGGAAGAGCUCAAAUUUGAAAUCUUCAAGGUUCUACCUUGACGAAUUGUAGUUUAAAGAAGUGUUUUCUGUUGGAGUUUUGGUAAAAGUUCUUUGGAAUAGGACAUCAUAGAGGGUGAGAAUCCCGUAUUUGACCAUUAUUUCCAACUUUGUGAUACACUUUCAAAGAGUCGGAUUGUUUGGGAAUGCAGUCCAAAAUGGGUGGUAAAUUUCAUCUAAAGCUAAAUAUUGGCGAGAGACCGAUAGCGAACAAGUACCGUGAGGGAAAGAUGAAAAGAACUUUGAAAAGAGAGUUAAACAGUACGUGAAAUUGUCAAAAGGGAAGCGUUUGACACCAGUGUUGUUUUCUCGAAAAUCAAUUAAAAAUGGCAGGAUUUUGUGUUGUAUUGACUUUAUCAGCUUUCUGCACUUUUUUCUUGUCUUUUUUAAUGCACUUUUCGUUUAACAAGUCAGCAUCAGUUUCUUUUGUUGUAAAAGAGUCAUUGGAAGGUGGCUUUCUUUUCGGAGAAAGUGUUUAUAGCCUUUGACUUCCUGCAAUCGGAGAGAUUGAGGUCUGCAGCGUAGAUCCUUCUGGAUUAGAUACAUUUGUGCUAAGCUAUAGCCUUUUCAUAGACAACUUGUUGACUAUGAUCAGUCAUGUAGCUUACUCGCUUAUGCUAUUUUACCUACGCUUAGGAUGUUGAUCUGUAGUGCGUGCGC